ensembl:ncRNA lncRNA:CR43983 long non-coding RNA:CR43983
UACAUUUGUAUACUUAACACACCAUGAAUAAAGUAGGUGUUUGUUAAGUAACUAAGGCAUUUAAUGACACUAUUAUAUACAAGACGGAAUCGUAUAAAAUCUUUAAAAAUAUUUCAAAAUAAGUGAAAUAAUCAUGAUGUUUGGAUCAAACGCGGCUCUCCCUUUGUUUUACUGCCCUUUUCCGUGGCCUUUUCUUGUGCUGCUCCAAAACGCGCUAUUUAAUCGUGCCCAAUGAGCCCUGCAGCCCAGCAUGUCCCAGCAUCCAACCCGAUCCCUAUUCCGAUUUCGAUACCGAUUCCGAUUCAGAUCCAGAUCCGACAAGUCAAAGUCCCCAAGCCACCGACGACAUUUUGCGUUCGACAGCCGCCGGCACAGUGCGUAGUUGUAUGUAUGGAUGGUUCGCUGGCUGAUUCACUGGAUUCUGGAGGAGCGGUAGGGGUAGCAACGACCACAGACGCGUCUUUUGUUUGCUUUGACAGAGGGUGCACCACUCACACCACCCACACCACCCGAUGCUCUGUGUGUCUGCGUGGCUCGGCUGUUUUGGCAUUGGCGGCUACAGAUUUGCUCGCCGGAGCACUAAACUUUUAUUUCUUAAAUCUGUGAAUCGUUUGUGCGCCUCGCUCAAAGUCAAUAUGCGGGCGCAAAUGUACGAAAUGAUGAGACAGACUUGGCAGUAGGUUGGUAACUGCACUGCUAAAAAUGAUUAGAAAUUAAAACAUAUAAUUUGCUAGCUCAAAACGUGUUUUUAAUUGUUACCGCUACUUCUAAAAAUAAAUCACAAUUGAAAUGAAAUACAUUUAUAUAUUUUUUUCUACAAAUUAAUAACUUUAUUUUUAGGUGUAAUGAUGAUGUGGCCCAAAACUGGGCCCCUGAUUUUGCCAACAUUCGCGCUGCUGUUGCCGCUUCCUGUUUUUUGGAAAAUCGGUUUUUGUUGAUGCCAGCGCCAGUUGUUUAGCCUUCAACAGCGCAGACUUCAGUCAACCCACUAUACCCUCGU